GACAAUGAUUUUAUAGUGAAGUUGAAGCAAAGAGAGUGACCACCUGUGAGACAAAGAUGCAGGUUCCCUCUGUGUGCCGGGCAGUAUGCCAGUUAAUUCAAGUGCAUGUCAGACCCAGAGGGUGACAUCCUGUGACUCAGAUGCUAGGGCCCUUAUGAUGCCUGGUAAGGGAUGAACCGUUGUCCACAUUCUGUUUUCUGAGUCAAAGAGGAGGAAGAUCUGUCCAUCGAAACUGAGCUGCCAAGAUCCACUGCCGUGUCCUUCGGCUUUCUGCUCACAAGACAUCCUGGCCUGCAGGGUGAGGGGUUCUGCCCCCAUCAAAGAGAGAUCAGCUCUGGCCUUGACAGAUAUUGAGCCCCCAUCCUCUUCCACUUGCAAUUUCCUGGUCUUACUUGCUCUGCCACAUCCUGGCCUUGCCUCUAGACGUCUUGCGGGGUGAGAUGACCUUCCUAUUUGUAUUUUUACAUGAAAACUAUAAAUGCCUCUAACCUA
rnacentral:lncRNA from 1 species